GUCGCUCCGGCGGAGUGGUUAACGCGUUGCCCUGCUGUUCAUGAGAUAGCUGCUAGGCAAUUCCCUCGGGAGCACGGGUUCGAAUCCUGUGGAUGACG